GGAAUGGAUCUAGGGUACUUUCCCAAACAAAGAGAUCAAAGCCUUCUUUCAGAAAGAACAAAGCUAGAAGAGAGACCAGAUAAAGAUAAGAGAAGCCACAAGAAGUAGUUAUACCUACAAGAGCCUUCCAAAACAGGUAGGAACCCCAGGGCUUGGCUUCCAGGAUGAAACUCAAGCUAAGAUGUAUUUGAAGGGGGACCUCAGCUCAACUCUUUCUCUUCCAUAUUCAGCUUUCUGGAACUAUUCUACUCCAACAUGACUUAAAGAGAGACAAACAGGUCAUAUGCUAACAUUAAAUGGGUUGCUUACCCUAAGCCAUCA